AUUGAACGCUGGCGGCAUGCCUUACACAUGCAAGUCGAACGGUAACAAGUCUUCGGAUGCUGACGAGUGGCGAACGGGUGAGUAAUGCAUCGGAACGUGCCCAGUUGUGGGGGAUAACUGCUCGAAAGAGCAGCUAAUACCGCAUACGACCUGAGGGUGAAAGCGGGGGAUCGCAAGACCUCGCGCAAUUGGAGCGACCGAUGUCAGAUUAGGUAGUUGGUGGGGUAAAGGCCUACCAAGGCGACGAUCUGUAGUUGGUCUGAGAGGACGACCAGCCACACUGGGACUGAGACACGGCCCAGACUCCUACGGGAGGCAGCAGUGGGGAAUUUUGGACAAUGGGCGCAAGCCUGAUCCAGCAAUGCCGCGUGCAGGAAGAAGGCCUUCGGGUUGUAAACUGCUUUUGUCAGGGAAGAAAUCCUCUGGGUUAAUACCCCGGGGGGAUGACGGUACCUGAAGAAUAAGCACCGGCUAACUACGUGCCAGCAGCCGCAGUAAAAC
rnacentral:rRNA from 1 species